GGGGCUUUAGCUCAGUGGUAGAGCGCCUGCUUCGCAUCAGAUCGUGUCCCUACCACGAAGAGUGAUCAGUAGGAGGCCCUGGGUUCAAACCCCAGAUGCUCCA